rnacentral:misc_RNA from 1 species
GAUGAAGAACGCAGCGAAAUGCGAUACGUAGUGUGAAUUGCAGAAUCCAGUGAAUCAUCGAAUCUUUGAACGCACAUUGCGCCCGCCAGCACUCUGGCGGGCAUGCCUGUUCGAGCGUCAUUUCAACCAUCAAGCCCCCAGGGGCUUGUGCUGGGGCCCUGCGGCUGCCCGCAGGCCCUGAAAACCAGUGGCGGGCUCGCUAGUCACACCGAGCGCAGUAGCACAUCUCGCUCAGGGCGUGCGGCGGGCUCCUGCCGUGAAACCCCCCACUGUAACCCCAAAGGUUGACCUCGGAUCAGGUAGGAAUACCCGCUGAACUUAAGCAUAUCAAUAAGCGGAGGA